GAUGAACGCUAGCUACAGGCUUAACACAUGCAAGUCGAGGGGAAACGAUAGAGAAAGCUUGCUUUUUCUAGGCGUCGACCGGCGCACGGGUGAGUAACGUGUAUCCAACCUGCCCAUCACUUGGGGAUAACCUUGCGAAAGUAAGACUAAUACCCAAUGACGUCUCUAGAAGACAUCUGAAAGAGAUUAAAGAUUUAUCGGUGAUGGAUGGGGAUGCGUCUGAUUAGCCUGUUGGCGGGGUAACGGCCCACCAAGGCGACGAUCAGUAGGGGUUCUGAGAGGAAGGUCCCCCACAUUGGAACUGAGACACGGUCCAAACUCCUACGGGAGGCAGCAGUGAGGAAUAUUGGUCAAUGGACGAGAGUCUGAACCAGCCAAGUAGCGUGCAGGAUGACGGCCCUAUGGGUUGUAAACUGCUUUUAUAAGGGAAUAAAGUGAGAGUCGUGACUCUUUUUGCAUGUACCUUAUGAAUAAGGGCCGGCUAAUUCCGUGCCAGCAGCCGCGGUAA
rnacentral:rRNA from 1 species